rnacentral:rRNA from 1 species
UACAGAGGGUGCGAGCGUUUAAUCGGAAUUACUGGGCGUAAAGCGUGCGUAGACGGUUAUUUAAGUCGGGUGUGAAAGCCCCGGGCUCAACCUGGGAAUUGCAUUCGAGACUGAAUAGCUAGGGUACGGUAGAGGGAAGUGGAAUUUCCGGUGUAGCGGUGAAAUGCGUAGAUAUCGGAAGGAACAUCAGUGGCGAAAGCGACUUCCUGGACCAGUACCGACGUCAGGCACGAAAGCGUGGGGAGAAACAGGA